GCGCGCACACACGUGCUACGUGCACGAGCGCAUGCUCUUUGGAUGUUGACAACCGUGACAUUGUUUACAGUAGACACGUGCGUUUGAUUUGUUUCUGUUCCAGAGUAUUCUGUCACAUCGCGAGACGUAAGGGAGUACAGUACGGAAGCAGCGCAAAGUUCAGCACCCUUGAAGCAACCAGUCUAUUCAUCUCAAGCAUCUUCCUUGUCCCAGAGUUCUUUUUGCUCAUCCUCCAACACCUGCUCCCCUCCUACUGUGAACUGGGUAGACAGUUUCGAAAUUCCAUGGAAAAUGUUUCCGGAGGAAUUAAUGCAGGCCCUUGAGAGACAGAAAAGGCCAAGUCCUCGUUUGCGCAGGGAAAUGGUAAGGACUGCUGUUAAGGCAAUGAUGAAAGUUAGUGCUUGUCAAAAUAAGAAGAAUUUAACAGAAGUUGCCAAAAGGAUGGUUGCAAAGUAUCCAAAGUCUUUGCAAGAUGUGAUUGCAGAGUCAGUGAUUGGUCCUGGAUACUACUCCUUGAUCAAGCAAUUUCAAGCCAGAGUGGAAAAUGCGAGACGGUUCAACACACCGAAAAUACGAAAGCGUUUUCACAAUUCAGGUGAAUGUGACACUGUGGAACUGCCACCUGAAAGAAGAGCUGCAGUUCAAGAUACAUAUGGAUGCAUUAACUGGGAAGUUAAAUUUAUGCCUCUCAGUGAAACUGCUUAAAGUCAGCAGUUGAAGGAAGAGCAGAUGAAGAGUCUCUCACAAAAAACUGACUCGAAUCAAGAAGAGGUGAAAGUUCUCAUGAAGUCUACAUACUACAGUCAAUGAAAGGAUAUCAACAAAGAGCAGACAUUAAAGCCCUCAUUGAAGAAUGGCCUUAUUUGUUUUAGGAGAGUGGCAUGGAAGUCCACUUUAAAGAGCUCACAGGUAUACCACUUAAAAAGACCUUCCUGAGUAGCGUUGAUAGAAAAGGGAAAAGGCUGCUGGACGGACAUCAUAAGGAAAGUUUGCACAAUCAAGAACAAGCGUGUCUUACAGGUUGCUAAAAAACUACAAGUUAUGAGAGGACAGGGGAACGGAUGCUCAGAAGAUGUGAAAGACACAAUUCUUCUCCUCCUCUCCUAUUUUUAUGAGAAAGAGGAGCUCCUCUUUCAUUAUGUGGAAUGCCUCACUAAGGAUGUAGAGUUGGAAGACCUUCCUGUGACCCCAUGCUUUGUUGUGUGUGUGUGUGUGUGUGUUACAGAACAGCUUCAACUCUGGAAUGCUGGUGGGUUUCCUCACAUGAACUGCUUGCUUCAGGUCCUUCCACAACAUUUCUCUUGGAUUAAGGACUCUCCUGCUAUGCGGGUGAUCGAUUCAUGAAGAGUGUAGACUGCAAGAUUGUGAAUGAUGACAUUCCCACAUUCAUCUCUGCUGUCUGUCUGAUGUACGUAUUACUGGUUUAACAUUCACUACCCUUCAGAAUUGGCAUCAGUGCUUGAGUUCCUGCAAAGGUGUUUUUUUCAUUAUAAAUCCUGAGAAGGGCACAAAAGUCAAGGAGAAGAAGAACAAAAAUCGACUUCCAGUGAAUCCAAGAGUCUUCACCUUAAUCUCAGACCUUUCGGAUCAUGAGUGGUGAAAGACAUGGUAAAGCUGAACUAAGUUUUGGUUAUAUUGAAUUAACAGGGAACGUGUUAUUGACCACAAGACGUGUUGUAACCACAAGACAGCAAGUUUGCUGGUCAACAAAACAACUGGAUAAAAUUUUGUGAUUUGUUCUGUUUUUUGUUUUUUUUACAUGAUGUGCUGUUUUAAAUUACUUAUUGAGGUUAUGUUAUAGUGAAUCAUGAAGUCUGUAAUCACUGUUUUUCUGUGAAGGAUUUUCCUCAUAGGAUGUUAAGUAUAACAAUGUAUUUCAACAUUCACAUUUCUCUUUGAUCUUUGUUCUUGCAGUGAACCUUUUUAUUUAUCAGGUUUAUUUAACCUUUACUUAACUUUAAAUAAGCUCUGUUGAAAAUGCCUGUAGAGUAGUAAGAGUAAUGUUAUAAAUUCUACAGUCUGGACUAACUGGAGCAUUUGUGUUUUGUUUAAACCACUGCCUACCUCUAUUCAAAAACAAACAAAAAAAAUCAGUAAUACAGCAUACUGUAUCUCCUUAAUUUCUUGCUGGUCUUAAUUAAAAAUACUUGGGACCACAUUGACGUCUUAGUCUUUUAUGGAUUAGUUUUUGAUUUAGGCUUGCAAGUCUAAUAUAUUUGUUAAUUAGUGUAACAGUACUCUUAAUCUUAAUCUUAAAUGCUUCUUGUUGUUUAAAGCCUUAUUAAAAUUACAAUUUAAAAGUAAAAGAAACAUUUGUCAGCUGCACAAUAUGUAGCUUAUAUUUCAUAAAGCCUGAGCUUCCAUCUAGUGUGAUGGUAUGAUGCUUUCAUAGAAAUUGCUGAAUGAAAUUACAGUGGUUAUUUUUAAUUUUUACAGUGAAACAUGUGAUUGAUUCACAAUAUCCAACAUAUUUAAUGUAUUUUUUUUUGUAAUUUUUUACACUGGUUUCCUGUGCCCUUUGGUAAACAAUUUUAUAACUGUAGUUUCUGCCUGUAAUUAGUACAACAUAAUCCUUUAAUGAGCUGUAAUAAGUACGGUUCAUAACUGUCUAUUUUACAACAUAAACCUUUAAUUUAGACACUUAUGAGCUGUAAUUAUUACAAUAUAAACCUUUAAAUUAGACAGUUAUGAACUGUAAAAAAUACAGUAAACAAAGUGCAAUCCCGUACAAUUUAAAACAUUGAUACCAUAUUUUUUACAAUAAAGUUCUGGCAAC